rnacentral:lncRNA from 10 species
CGUGACCACCCUAUGAGAUAUGGAAGGACGAAAAAUGGAUCUCUAAUGAAUACAAUCAUAUCUGUAAGCUACAGAUUUUACCAUCAAAAAUAUGAUUUAUUAGUAAAGCUGGCCACAUGGCACUGAAUUUACUGGCCUUUGUAUUAAUCAUAUAAAAUAGUGAUGGGAGUUAUAGUAGGCUGAUUCUGAGAUGGCUCCCUGUGAUCUCAUUGGAAGAGAGAUGUUUAUUAUGAUAUGACAAAAGCCUAGUGCUAAUGUGGUCUGCAGUUAUGCUGAAAACAGAAGAUAUACCUGAUAGACUUGGCUACAUGGCUAAGGAGAUUUCUGGGCAGUGGGGAAGACACUAUUUUUCUCUUGCUGCUUAUAGCAUGAUAGAAGAGCCAUAAAGUGAGGGAAGAAUAAAACAGGAGAGCAUAAGGUCAAAAAAAGGUACAUUAAGAGACAUCUGGCUUUAACUCCAAUGUGUAAAGUUCUUAAAAGUCAUUGCUUCCACUCUUACCACAAGAAGAACCUGAGUGAACUGAAAAUCAGUGACAAUUCGUGUAUCCAAAUGAGAAUGAAGUUCCUACAGCAAACAGCCACCCAGAAAUCUGCAAAGAUAGAUGAAUUAGGGGAGUCACAGCUGAGAUCUGUUUACCCGGUGCAGAAACCACUAGAAACAAACUCUUGGUAGCACUUCAGUGGUAAUGCUGAUGAUUUUCCGGAGCGCUAGUGUGGAGUUGCGUGAGAGUGAUAAACUCCUGGGGUCACACUCUUGGAAUCCCACACAGUUGUGGAUUUUACCUCCAGAAGCCCCACCAAGCUCUCACAGUAAAGAGUUGAGAAAAUGCCAUCAUGGUCAUGUGGGGCGCAUGGAAGAGAAGUUAUUGUGAAAUAUACCCAGAAUAUUCUCCAUAACAAAGACCUACCCUCCAGUGAGGGAUAAAACCUUUAGCAGAGACUUAUCCCACUUGAGGUAAGGUCACUUUUCACACUCUGGGCACCAAUAUCCUUCCUGUUCCUUGUAAGGGGAGAAGCAAAGCUAAGAAAUGCUUGUAAGGGACAUGGACCCCCUAAAAGACUGUGAUGUAAUCAUAAGAGUAUAGAAUACUUCCCCUAUGCCAACCUUCUCACCACACUAACAGGGCUCCAAUGUAACUGUGGAUUACACCUAAAAGAGCCAGAAAACACAGACUCUCUGUGGAGGAGUAUAUAAGGAUGCCCAAAGUCAAGAGUGGAGACAAAAUAAGGAUACUAGAGGAAUUUGAAGCCACCGCUACCUACAUCUACAGCAAACAUUAUAUAUAGCUUGAUUCUCAGCCAGAUUAAUAAUAACAACAAAAAAUGCUCACUAAAGGCCUGUUUGCCUCACUGAUUACUCUUCAAUAUAUUAUGUAUGGGUUUUAAUGGAAAAUUUUAAGGUAUGAAAAAAAGCAAGAAAAAACAAGUCAGAAAGACAAAGCAAGCAUCAGAACCAGACUCAGAUUUGACACAAAUUUGGAAAUUAUCAGAUAGAGAAUUUAAAAUAACUGUUUUAGAUUUUAAAGACUCUAAUGGAGGAAACAGUCAACAUGCAAAAAUAGAUGUGUAAUGUAAGAAGAGUGAUGGAAACUCUAGGAAACAAUCAAAAGGAAAUGCUAGAAAUAAUAAAAAUCACUGACAUAAAUAAAGAAUGUCUUCAAUAGGUUCAUCAACAGAACAAGUUUGAGGAAAGAAUGAGUAAGCUUGAAGAUAAGUCAACAGAAAUAAUUUCGAAAGUAUAAUAUACAUCUAUUUGGAAUACCAGAAGGAGAAGAACAAGAACAAGAAACUAAAGAAAUAUUUGAAGUAACACUGUCAGAGGAUUUUCCCAAAUUAACCACAGCAAAUCACAAGUCAAGAAGUAGAGAACAGUAAACAGGAGAAAUACCAAAACAAUUAUACACAAACUUCAGAAAACCAAAGACAAAAAGAAAAUCUUCAAAGGAGUCAGAGAAAAAGUAACCUGACUUACAGCAAAACAGGACAAGAAUUAAAUUAGACUUCCCAUCAGAAACACAGAAGCAAGAAGACUGGAGUGAAGUAUUUAAAUGCUAAAAUAAAGAAAAAAAAUACAAACUUGAGAAAUAAAGACUUCCUCAGACAAAUGCUGAGGGAAAUAAUCACCAUCAGACCUUCCCUGUAAGAAAAUAUUAAAAGAAGUUCCUCACGGAAAAGGAAGGUGAUAAAGUUCAGAAACUCAAAUCUGCGUAACAAAGGAAGAGUGCCAAAGAAGGAAUAAAUAAAGGCCAUGGAUUGGGACCUGUCCAUUGCCCAAGGGUUGAGGACCUCUGGCUUAGAUGAAAUGCACCAAUUCCGUGAAAUAGACCAACUUGUACAAGAAGAAAUGGAUUAUCUUGACAGGUGUAUUUGUAUUAAAGACACUGAACAUAACUAAUAACCUUCCAAAAAGAAAACAGCAGGCCCAAAUGGUUUCAUUAGAAAUUUUGUUUUUGUUUCUUUUUUUCUUUCUUUUUUUUGAGAUGGAGUCUUGCCCUGUGACCCAGACUGGAGUGCAAUGGUGCAAUCACAGCUCACUGCAAGCUCCGCCUCCCAGGUUCAAAUGAUUCUCCUGCCUCAGCCUCCCGAGUAGCUGAGAUUAUAGGCACCCAUCAUCAC